UACAGGGGUCCCAAGCGUUGUUCGGAUUUACUGGGCGUAAAGGGUGCGUAGGUGGUUGGGUAAGUCUGAUGUGAAAUCUCCGGGCUUAACCCGGAAAUGGCAUUGGAUACUAUUUGACUAGAGGGUUGGAGGGGGGACUGGAAUACUUGGUGUAGCAGUGAAAUGCGUAGAUAUCAAGUGGAACACCAGUGGCGAAGGCGAGUCCCUGGACAACUCCUGACACUGAGGCACGAAAGCUAGGGGAGCAAACAGG
rnacentral:rRNA from 1 species